GACGAACGCUGGCGGCGUGCCUAACACAUGCAAGUCGAACGGAGCUCAUUGGAAUGAGACUUCGGUCGAAUGAUAGUGAGUUUAGUGGCGGACGGGUGAGUAACGCGUGAGCAACCUGCCUUUCAGAGGGGGACAACAGUUGGAAACGACUGCUAAUACCGCAUGAUGUAUUUCGAGGGCAUCUUUGAAAUACCAAAGAUUUUAUCGCUGAAAGAUGGGCUCGCGUCUGAUUAGUUAGUUGGUGGGGUAACGGCCUACCAAGACUACGAUCAGUAGCCGGACUGAGAGGUUGAACGGCCACAUUGGGACUGAGAUACGGCCCAGACUCCUACGGGAGGCAGCAGUGGGGAAUAUUGGGCAAUGGGGGCAACCCUGACCCAGCAACGCCGCGUGAAGGAAGAAGGCUUUCGGGUUGUAACUUCUUUGACGAGAGACGAAUAAAUGACGGUACCUCGAAAACAAGCCACGGCUAACUACGUGCCAGCAGCCGCAGUAAAAC
rnacentral:rRNA from 1 species